GACGAACGCUGACGGCGUGCUUAACACAUGCAAGUCGAACGGAAAGGCCCUGCUUUUGUGGGGUGCUCGAGUGGCGAACGGGUGAGUAACACGUGAGUAACCUGCCCUUGACUUUGGGAUAACUUCAGGAAACUGGGGCUAAUACCGGAUAGGAGCUCCUGCUGCAUGGUGGGGGUUGGAAAGUUUCGGCGGUUGGGGAUGGACUCGCGGCUUAUCAGCUUGUUGGUGGGGUAGUGGCUUACCAAGGCUUUGACGGGUAGCCGGCCUGAGAGGGUGACCGGCCACAUUGGGACUGAGAUACGGCCCAGACUGCUACGGGAGGCAGCAGUGGGGAAUAUUGCACAAUGGGCGGAAGCCUGAUGCAGCAACGCCGCGUGCGGGAUGACGGCCUUCGGGUUGUAAACCGCUUUCGCCUGUGACGAAGCGUGAGUGACGGUAAUGGGUAAAGAAGCACCGGCUAACUACGUG
rnacentral:rRNA from 1 species